GAAUGUCAAAUUUCUAGUAUGAGAAAUUAACGAUUUAAGUCCUUCUUAAAUGAGGCCAUUUACCCAUAGAGGGUGCCAGGCCCGUAUAACGUUAAUGAUUAUUAGAUGGCAUUUCCAAAGAGUCGUGUUGCUUGAUAGUGCAGCACUAAGUGGGUGGUAAACUCCAUCUAAAACUAAAUAUAACCAUGAGACCGAUAGUAAACAAGUACCGUGAGGGAAAGUUGAAAAGAACUCUGAAUAGAGAGUUAAAUAGUACGUGAAACUGCUUAGAGGUUAAGCCCGAUGAACCUGAAUAUCCAAUAUAGAAAAUUCAUCAUUAUGAUUUUAAUAUCACAAUAUUAUAAUAAUGGUGUGCAUUUUUUCUAUAAAGGACAUUGUAAUCUAUUAACAUACACAUAAUAUUUAUCAUACGAUCAAUUGCAUCAGUUUAUUUAAAUUAUUUUGCUUGCAAUUUAACAUAAAAUAAAUGCUUUUGAUUUGAUAAAGUGUUGAUAGAUUAAUUAUAUAUAUAGUGCUUGAAUAUAUAUAUUCUAUAAUAGCAUAUUAAUUAUUAAUUUUUAUGUUUAUUAUAUGCAUUUAUAUGAUUAACAAUGCGAAAGAUUCAGGAUACCUUCGGGACCCGUCUUGAAACACGGACCAAGGAGUCUAACAUAUUUGCAAGUUAUUGGGAAUAAAAACCUAAUAGCAAAAUUAACAUAACUAAUAAUGGGAUUAGUUUUUAGCCUAUUUAUAGUCUAUUAAUUCAAUCCCGGGGCGUUCUAUACAGUUAUGUAUAAUAAUAUUUAUAUUAUUUAUACCUCUAACUAGAGCGUACCUUGAGCAUAUAUGCUGUGACCCGAAAGAUGGUGAACUAUACUUGAUCAGGUUGAAGUCAGGGGAAACCCUGAUGGAAGACCGAAACAGUUCUGACGUGCAAAUCGAUUGUCAGAAUUGAGUAUAGGGGCGAAAGACCAAUCGAACCAUCUAGUAGCUGGUUCCCUCCGAAGUUUCCCUCAGGAUAGCUGGUGCAUUUAAAACUUAUGUAAAAUAAUCUUAUCUGGUAAAGCGAAUGAUUAGAGGCCUUAGGGUCGAAACGAUCUUAACCUAUUCUCAAACUUUAAAUGGGUAAGAACCUCACCUUUCUUGGUAUGAAGGUAGUGGUUGUGAUAUAAUGUGCCCAGUGGGCCACUUUUGGUAAGCAGAACUGGCGCUGUGGGAUGAACCAAACGUAAUGUUACGGUGCCCAAAUUAACAACUCAUGCAGAUACCAUGAAA
rnacentral:rRNA from 1 species